AGUAAUGAGAAGUUAGGAUCCCCAAGCUCGAGCACCGGGAGGAAGCGUCACUCAAAUGGCCUCGAAACGACCUACGAUCAUUAACGAAAAGGGGCAAAUCAACACGGCGGUGAUCAAGAACCUUCAAACAACAUCGACAUCGAACAAGACAAAAGAUAAAAAAAGUUCGAUAAACAACGACUCAAUGCAAGAAUAGACGAGGAAUUACAAACAACGCCGAUGCCAA
rnacentral:lncRNA from 1 species